GAGCGGUCUAUCAUGCAGUCGAGCGAAUGGAUUAAGAGCUUGCUCUUAUGAAGUUAGCGGCGGACGGGUGAGUAACACGUGGGUAACCUGCCCAUAAGACUGGGAUAACUCCGGGAAACCGGGGCUAAUACCGGAUAACAUUUUGAACCGCAUGGUUCGAAAUUGAAAGGCGGCUUCGGCUGUCACUUAUGGAUGGACCCGCGUCGCAUUAGCUAGUUGGUGAGGUAACGGCUCACCAAGGCAACGAUGCGUAGCCGACCUGAGAGGGUGAUCGGCCACACUGGGACUGAGACACGGCCCAGACACCUACGGGAGGCAGCAGUAGGGAAUCUUCCGCAAUGGACGAAAGUCUGACGGAGCAACGCCGCGUGAGUGAUGAAGGCUUUCGGGUCGUAAAACUCUGUUGUUAGGGAAGAACAAGUGCUAGUUGAAUAAGCUGGCACCUUGACGGUACCUAACCAGAAAGCCACGGCUAACUACGUGCCAGCAGCCGCGGUAAUACGUAGGUGGCAAGCGUUAUCCGGAAUUAUUGGGCGUAAAGCGCGCGCAGGUGGUUUCUUAAGUCUGAUGUGAAAGCCCACGGCUCAACCGUGGAGGGUCAUUGGAAACUGGGAGACUUGAGUGCACAAAAGGAAGUGGAAUUCCAUGUGUAGCGGUGAAAUGCAUAGAAAUAUGGAAGACCCCCGUGGACGAGGCGACUUUUCUUGGCUGUAGAUGCGCAGAAGCGGGAGAGGUGAGGAAAAAGAAGAGUUCC
rnacentral:rRNA from 2 species